rnacentral:rRNA from 1 species
UGGGUUACCUGCCCUUAACUCUGGGAUAAGCCUGGGAAACUGGGUCUAAUACCGGAUAUGACCUCUCAUCGCAUGGUGAGGGGUGGAAAGUUUUUGUGGUUUUGGAUGGACUCGCGGCCUAUCAGCUUGUUGGUGAGGUAAUGGCUCACCAAGGCGACGACGGGUAGCCGGCCUGAGAGGGUGACCGGCCACACUGGGACUGAGACACGGCCCAGACUCCGUACGGGAGGCAG